GGGAUUGCCUCAGUAACGGCGAGUGAAGCGGCAACAGCUCAAAUUUGAAAUCUGGCCCUUUCGGGGUCCGAGUUGUAAUUUGUAGAGAGUGUUUCGGGUGAGACCACGGUCUAAGUCCAUUGGAACACGGUGUCAUAGAGGGUGAGAAUCCCGUAUGUGACCGUGGAUCGAACCCAUGUGAAGCCUCUUCGACGAGUCGAGUUGUUUGGGAAUGCAGCUCAAAAUGGGUGGUAAAUUUCAUCUAAAGCUAAAUACUGGCUGGAGACCGAUAGCGCACAAGUAGAGUGAUCGAAAGAUGAAAAGCACUUUGGAAAGAGAGUGAAACAGUACGUGAAAUUGUUGAAAGGGAAGCGCUUGCAACCAGACCUGCCCGUAGGCGAUCAGCCGCUGUUCUCAGUGGUGCACUCGCUCUGCGAUCAGGCCAGCAUCGGUUUCGGCGGUCGGAUAAAGGCCUUGGGAAUGUAGCUUCCUUUCGGGGGAGUCUUAUAGCCCUCGGUGCAAUGCGGCCAGUCGGGACCGAGGACCGCGCUUCGGCUAGGAUGCUGGCGUAAUGGUUGUAAGCGACCCGUCUUGAAACACGGACCAAGGAGUCUAACAUCUAUGCGAGUGUUUGGGUGUCAAACCCAUGCGCGGAAUGAAAGUGAACGGAGGUGAGAACCCUUAAGGGCGCAUCAUCGACCGAUCCAGAUGUCUUCGGAUGGAUUUGAGUAUGAGCAUAGCUGUUGGGACCCGAAAGAUGGUGAACUAUGCCUGAAUAGGGUGAAGCCAGAGGAAACUCUGGUGGAGGCUCGCAGCGGUUCUGACGUGCAAAUCGAUCGUCAAAUUUGGGUAUAGGGGCGAAAGACUAAUCGACCC
rnacentral:rRNA from 1 species